rnacentral:rRNA from 1 species
AGUAAAUAGAUACCCCGGUAGUCCUAGCCGUAAACGAUACUCGCUAGGUGUCGGCCACGGUGCGACCGUUGUCGGUGCCGUAGGGAAAGCCGUGAAGCGAGCCACCUGGGAAGUACGGCCGCAAGGCUGAAACUUAAAGGAAUUGGCGGGGGAGCACCACAACGGGUGGAGCUUGCGGUUUAAUUGGAUUCAACGCCGGAAAUCUUACCGGGACCGACAGCAACAUGAAGGCCAGGCUGAAGACUUUGCCGGAUUAGCUGAGAGGUGGUGCAUGGCCGUCGUCAGUUCGUACUGUGAAAGCAUCCUGUUAAGUCAGGCAACGAGCGAGACCCACGCCCACAGUUGCCAGCGUACUCUCCGGAGUGACGGGUACACUGUGGGGACCGCCGCUGCUAAAGCGGAGGAAGGAAUGGGCAACGGUAGGUCAGUAUGCCCCGAAUAUCCCGGGCUACACGCGAGCUACAAUGGUUGGUACAAUGGGUAUCUACCCCGAAAGGGGAUGGAAAUCUCCUAAAGCCAAUCUUAGUCCGGAUUGA